UUGAGAAACGGUUACAGUAGCCAUCUUUUAAGUUUGGCUAUUUUAACCUAAAUGUUGCUGUUUGUAAUUUAGUAAAUAAUACUACAUGCUGCAAUAAAAAAAGUGGAAGUUAUGGAUGUUUAUUGGCUUGUUUAGUAAGUAAAUGCGAUCAGACUUCGUGAUUCACAUUUUGUGUCUGGCUAUGCUUACCUUGAGAUGUUGUAGAAUAUACCAGAAUAUCUAAUAUGUAUUUGCUUUAUAUAAAGGUCAAGUGAUAAGAGUAAAGGGGAUUUUAAAGAGACCCAGCUUGCUCAUAGAGAAGGCUGUGACUGGAC